AUUGAACGCUGGCGGCAGGCUUCACACAUGCAAGUCGAACGAGUGGCGGACGGGUGAGUAAUGCUUGGGAAUCUAGCUUAUGGAGGGGGAUAACUACGGGAAACUGUAGCUAAUACCGCGUACCAUAGGAUGAGCCCAAGUGGGAUUAGGUAGUUGGUGAGGUAAAGGCUCUCCAAGCCGACGAUCUCUAGCUGGUCUGAGAGGAGGACCAGCCACCCUGGGACUGAAACACGGCCCAGACUCCUACGGGAGGCAGCAUUGGGGAAUAUUGCGCAAGGGGGGAAACCUGACGCAGCCAUGCCGCGUGAAUGAAGAAGGCCUUCGGGUUGUAAAGUUCUUUCGGUAGCGAGGCGUUAACUACAGAAGAAGCACGGACUAACUCCGUGCCAGCAGCCGCGGUAAUAC
rnacentral:rRNA from 1 species